rnacentral:rRNA from 1 species
UACGUAGGGGGCAAGCGUUGUCCGGAAUUAUUGGGCGUAAAGCGCGCGCAGGCGGUAUUUUAAGUCUGGUGUAUAAACCAAGGGCUCAACCUUUGGACGCAUUGGAAACUGGGAUACUGGAGUGUAGGAGAGGAAAGUGGAAUUCCACGUGUAGCGGUGAAAUGCGUAGAGAUGUGGAGGAACACCAGUGGCGAAGGCGACUUUCUGGCCUAUAACUGACGCUGAGGCGCGAAAGCGUGGGGAGCAAACAGG